GUGACGUUAGAAUUCAGAUCUGCAGUUGUAUCAAAGACUUGAGCAUCUCUGUCUGAUCCUCCAUAACUUUUAUCAUCCACUCUGUCGCUUGCCUAGGAAAUGC